GAUGAACGCUAGCGGCAGGCUUAACACAUGCAAGUCGAGGGGCAGCGCGGGAUAGCAAUAUCCUGGCGGCGACCGGCGGAAGGAUGCGUAACGCGUGAGCGACAUGCCCGUUGCCCGGGGACAACCGGUGGAAACGCCGACUAAUCCCCGAUGGGAUAUUGUGCCGCAUGGCACGAUAUUGAAAGUUACGGCGGCGACGGAUUGGCUCGCGUCCGAUUAGCUUGGUGGCGGGGUAACGGCCCACCAAGGCUGCGAUCGGUAGGGGUUCUGAGAGGAAGGCCCCCCACAAUGGGACUGAGACACGGCCCGUACUCCUACGGGAGGCAGCAGUGAGGAAUAUUGGUCAAUGGGCGGAAGCCUGAACCAGCCAUGCCGCGUGCGGGAAGGAGGCCCUAUGGGCUGUGAACCGCUUUUGCCUGAGGGCAAUAAGGGCGUCGCGCACGUCCGAUGAGAGUACCAGGCGAAUAAGCAUCGGCUAACUCCGUG
rnacentral:rRNA from 1 species